UACGUAGGGUGCGAGCGUUGUCCGGAAUUAUUGGGCGUAAAGAGCUCGUAGGCGGUGUGUCGCGUCGGCCGUGAAAACCUGGGGCUCAACUCUGGGCGUGCGGUCGAUACGGGCAUCACUGGAGUUCGGCAGGGGAGACUGGAAUUCCUGGUGUAGCGGUGAAAUGCGCAGAUAUCUGGAGGAACACCGGUGGCGAAGGCGGCGACCUGGUCCUAUACUGACACUCAUACACGAAAGCGUGGGGAUCAAACAGG
rnacentral:rRNA from 1 species